rnacentral:rRNA from 1 species
CAGGCACCCCUUUAUGUUACACUUCUUCUCUCACGCUGUACUGUUUCCACUCUACCCGCAAUAGACCAAAGUUACCUCUCCCGAGGUCACUUUUUACAGGGCGAUACCGCCCUUUACUCGCCCCUCCACUCCCAAGCCGUCCCUUCCUCUUCCCACGCAGCACCCACAAAAAAAAUUAAACAAGCCAGGCGCGUACAAUCUCUAUUGUACCGUCUAUCAGACCUAUUGGUAUAAAGAAGGAGUGUAUACCUAUACGUACCUAAACUUCUAUGGGAUAAGAGGUCUGCCAACUUAAAACCCCUAGGACAAUCUACAGGCAAACUACAUGCAAGUGUGAGCUUUCAUCCUCCCUCUUUACUCGAAGGUGAAAUCUUAAAUUAAUAAAAAAACUAAAUAAAUAUACGUAACAUCGGGCAUCGUUACGUGCCCGCAAGAUGACCUGACUGUAUUUCAGUCACUCAAGUUUUAAAGGUACAAAUCAAAACUGACUACAAUACCAAGAAGUAACUCAAAACAAGGUCCAUAAAUGGAUCUAGGAACUCUACGAUAAGCAUAACCGGACUUACGUCAACUCAAGACUUAGUAUUUGUUCGACCCUCUAAACAGAAGGUGUAUAAAAAUCACGUACGAGCCUCUUGUUCUAUUCUCCUCUCCGAACUUAGAACUCUACUGUUCCCAUCAGUGGACGACGCUGAUUUC